rnacentral:rRNA from 1 species
AUUGAACGCUGGCGGCAGGCCUAACACAUGCAAGUCGAGCGGGAACUUCGGUUCUAGCGGCGGACGGGUGAGUAAUGCGUAGGAAGCUACCCGACAGAGGGGGAUACCAGUUGGAAACGACUGUUAAUACCACAUAAUGUCUACGGACCAAAGUGUGGGACCUUCGGGCCACAUGCUGUCGGAAGCGCCUACGUGGGAUUAGCUAGUUGGUGAGGUAAUGGCUCACCAAGGCGACGAUCCCUAGCUGGUUUGAGAGGAUGAUCAGCCACACUGGAACGAAGACACGGUCCAGACUGCUACGGGAGGCAGCAGUGGGGAAUAUUGGACAAUGGGCGAAAGCCUGAUCCAGCCAUGCCGCGUGUGUGAAGAAGGCCUUCGGGUUGUAAAGCACUUUCAGUAGGGAGGAAGAGUUGAGUGUUAAUAGUACUCAGCUUUGACGUUACCUACAGAAGAAGCACCGGCUAACUCUGUGCCAGCCGCCGCCGCGGUAA